CCUACGUGAGGCAGCAGUGAGGAAUAUUGGUCAAUGGACGGGAGCCUGAACCAGCCAAGCCGCGUGAGGGAAGAAGGUUCUGUGUAUUGUACACCUCUUUUGUCAAGGAAUAAAGGUGGGGACUAGUCUCCGGCUGAGGGUACCUUACGAAAAAGCAUCGGCUAACUCCGUGCCAGCAGCUUCGGUAAUACGGAGACUGCGAGCGUUAUCCGGAUUUAUUGGGUUUAAAGGGGGGGUAGGCGGCUGGUUAAGUCAGCGGUAACAGCCCGGGGCUAAACCCAGGCGAGCCGUUGAAACUGGCGGGCUGGAGUUGGGGAGAGGUACGCGGAAUGCGCGGUGUAGCGGUGAAAUGCUUAGAGAUCACGCAGAACCCCGAUUGCGAAGGCAGCGUACCGGCUCCACACUGACGCUGAGGCACGAAAGCGUGGGUAUCGAACAGGAUUAGAUACCCCAGUAGUC
rnacentral:rRNA from 1 species